rnacentral:tRNA from 1 species
GUCCCUGUGGCUCAGUUGGUAGAGCAUGGUGUGUGCAACGCCAGGGUUGUGGGUUGGAUUCCCAUGGGGGGCC